AGUGAACGCUGGCGGUAGGCCUAACACAUGCAAGUCGAACGGCAGCACAGUAAGAGCUUGCUCUUACGGGUGGCGAGUGGCGGACGGGUGAGGAAUACAUCGGAAUCUACUUUUUCGUGGGGGAUAACGUAGGGAAACUUACGCUAAUACCGCAUACGACCUACGGGUGGAAGCAGGGGAUCUUCGGACCUUGCGCGAUUGAAUGAGCCGAUGUCGGAUUAGCUAGUUGGCGGGGUAAAGGCCCACCAAGGCGACGAUCCGUAGCUGGUCUGAGAGGAUGAUCAGCCACACUGGAACUGAGACACGGUCCAGACUCCUACGGGAGGCAGCAGUGGGGAAUAUUGGACAAUGGGCGCAAGCCUGAUCCAGCCAUACCGCGUGGGUGAAGAAGGCCUUCGGGUUGUAAAGCCCUUUUGUUGGGAAAGAAAAGCAGCAGGUUAAUACCCCGCUGUUCUGACGGUACCCAAAGAAUAAGCACCGGCUAACUUCG
rnacentral:rRNA from 1 species